rnacentral:rRNA from 1 species
GACGAACGCUGGCGGCGUGCUUAACACAUGCAAGUCGAACGGAAAGGCCCUGCUUGCAGGGUACUCGAGUGGCGAACGGGUGAGUAACACGUGGGUGAUCUGCCCUGCACUUCGGGAUAAGCCUGGGAAACUGGGUCUAAUACCGGAUAGGAGCCAUUUUUAGUGUGAUGGUUGGAAAGUUUUUUCGGUGUAGGAUGAGCUCGCGGCCUAUCAGCUUGUUGGUGGGGUAAUGGCCUACCAAGGCGGCGACGGGUAGCCGGCCUGAGAGGGUGGACGGCCACAUUGGGACUGAGAUACGGCCCAGACUCCUACGGGAGGCAGCAGUGGGGAAUAUUGCACAAUGGGCGCAAACCUGAUGCAGCGACGCCGCGUGGGGGAUGACGGCCUUCGGGUUGUAAACUCCUUUCGCUAGGGACGAAGCUUUUUGUGACGGUACCUAGAUAAGAAGCACCGGCUAACUACGUG